AGACAGGGUUUCUCUGUGUAGCUUUGCGCCUUUCCUCGAACUCACAGAGACCUGCCUGCCUCUGCCUUUUGAAUUGCUUUUCCUCUGCGAUUCGGCAUCUAUCCUUAGCAACAGGCAAUAUUGGACUCCAAAAGAGUGAAUCAGAUAUUAGAGAAGAAAGAGCUGAGUUUAUUGGAAAGAUUAGGUUAGGCAUAUUGUCAGGAGUUCAAGGCCAGCCUGGGCUACAUACUUUGGUUCCAGGACAGCCUGGGCUGCAGAGAGAGACUGUCAAAAUAGAAAAAGAACUCUUGCAUUCUCCAAGGACUAGUUUGAAUUGCUUUUCCUCUGAGUAGCUAUGAUUCAGCAUCCGCACCCCCACGCCCCCCAGCAGUAGGCAAUGACAGAGGCAACAGACAAGAAAAAGAGAGAGAGAGAGAAACAGCAAAUGAAUCAGAGCUCAUCCACCCUCCACCCCCCAUGCAGCACCGGGGAAGAGGACGCCAGCCGAGACUUGAAUGGAAGAAGGAUUUGGUGAGAAGCUUUCUCUAGGAGUAAAAUGCAGAAUCCAAGGAAAUGGGAUUUCAGAGACUGUGGGACUGGGGUCUCCUUUAACUCCGCUGGAAUCUUUUCAAAGGCGUUUUCUAGCCUUAGGGUAAACGUGUCCCACACUCCCUUCUGUUGUCAAUCUUCCACUCCACUGAGCAGUGUCAGUCACCUGCCUGAUUGCCAGAGCUGAUGGAAAAGUUUAAUGCCCAGUGUGUGCCUUUGCCGCAUUUGCCAGUCUUGGUCAUCUCUUGUGGAGAUCUGAAAAUGAGCGAGCGAAAAUGACCUGUUUUAUCUUGAGUCCAGAAGUGAACAAGUUGGCUUACCCAUGACAGCUCUCAUGUGAUGAGAAUUGAAUAGAAUUAGAUGUACUAUGAUGAAUAACCAUGCCCGCCAUUUAUAGAAGCCUUUCCUAAGAGCCAGGCACCCAGCGAGACAUCUUAUCUCCAAGCUGGAACACAACCUUAUUGAUAGCUACGAAGUCCGUGAGUUUUUCCCAGUUCUAGAUAAACAGGUCUCUUCCCCACCCCAGCCCCAUUUAGUCGGUGCCUUUUUUCUCCAGUGUUUAAUACAAAUUGUUUUAAGCUUUUUUAGCUAGGUCAUACACCUGUCAGGCUUCCUGAGAUGACCCCAAAUGCCUUUAGUAGGGUUGAUAAACAGCUCAGACUUUCAGUUUCUAAUUCUAUUACUGGAAAAGCACCCAACUAGAGUGAGAACACUUGAAACUCUGUGACAUAAUCAGAUUUGCUUGUAGAAAAGAGCUUGAGAGGAAAGGAAGGCUUCCGAAAAGGUAAAUCCGAAGAGCAGCCAAUGUGGAACCAGCAGGGACAAGAGGGCUGCACCGAGAUAGGAAGAAGAGGUUCGGGGACACGGUGGCAGGGAACCCCACACUUUGGGGUCUUUGAAACCUCUUAGCAGCUGAGGGUUGGGAAUUCCAGCACAAUUAAUAUUGUCUGUGAAUGUUUCAGACAUGGGGCCCAUAGUCAUCUUAAAUAAAAAUAUUUUCAAGUGAAAAUGUUAAAAUGCCAAUAAAUUAGGCUUAAGUCUUGGAUCUAUAUGACCUUGGAUAGCACCUCACUCUUCUCCCAUAUAUUUUCUGGGACUCUUAUGAGCAAAACUAUUAACUUUUGAUCAUGGUGAAGAUAUCUCAGCAUGUUUUUAAGUGUAAGCCUAUCAGGUUCACCUUAGGAACCACACUGUGAUCUCAUUUACAUUUCUUAGCAGCCCUUUGAAGAUGGUUGCUUCCGAGCUCACAGAACUCUGUAUCCUGUUAUAAAGUUAGUCAGUUACAACUUUCCUUUGAUACGUCCACAUCCAUGGUGUCCCAUGUAUGCUUACCUUUUUCCUGGAUGCCUCUCUGUUAACCGUCCAUCUUUAUGUUUAAAAUAUGUUUCAAUACAAACUGAAUUCUGCUUUA